rnacentral:lncRNA from 1 species
GCGUGGUUCGCAGCCACGCGGGCUCCGGGCAAUUGCGCUUUAGUCUGGGUGGACAGCUUCGCCGGAGCUGAGAGCCCGCGACCUGCCGGACCAGGGCUGGGCCGCGGGUCAAUGAUCCAGGAAAUCCCGUCACUCGCGUGCCUGUGGCUGAAGCGCGGCAGCUUGUCUUGUCCGUUUCGUGUCAGUUUCAGGGCUGAGUGGCAGCGUCUGGACUUUGCGGACGCCGAGGGCUCAGAUGCUGGGCUCUGGGGAGGGAGAGGGCGCCGGCCGGCCUGUCCCUCUCCGGGGAUUUGCAGGUACCACCUGUCGGCUUUGUUUCAUCAUCAGGAGCCCCUUUGCCCAGAAAUCCCGAUCGUCUACACCCAGGUCUCUACUGAUCAGAGAUUGAGAGUGAGUCAACAGGAGUCCAACACGUGACCCCCAUAAGUCUACCCUCUUUUCCCCCAAUACUUGUAGAUACCACCCAGUAACACCCGUGUGUGCUAAAAAUCCUAUUCUGGGAGUUCUUCGGCAGUUUAAAUCGCCCAUGAAUUACUCAUAUUUUCUCAAUCCACCGUGAGCCUGGCACAUUUCUUUUCAGUAAUUGAUUGGGAAAGUGCAAGCCAUUGGUGACCUUUAGAAGUUUUAAAUGUUUAUAACGAAAGGGCUAAGGACAGAGGAGAUUACCCACACUUAAGUAUUUUGCACCUUAAAAAUGCUAGCAAAAAUAUGAAUUUAUAUUCCUUCAGGGAGAAGAUUUCGUCUGAGGACGUAGGCCGAACCUUGUGUUUUAUAUGUCAUAUGAAUUACGCUCUGAAACUAAAAUAUGAAAUAGAUUCCAUAAUUAAGCCCUUUGGAAUAUCAGCCUCAUCUGAAUUAUUUCUAAGGAUAUUUUUGCCUUUUUUGGUUUAUUAAAAACUUCCUUUUGGGGAAACUUGUAUAGAUUUUCUGCACUUAGGCAAAAUAAAGCAUUUUAUUCAAAAUA